GAUGAGCGCUAGCUACAGGCUUAACACAUGCAAGUCGAGGGGCAGCAUAAAUCUAGCAAUAGAUUUGAUGGCGACCGGCGCACGGGUGAGUAACACGUAUCCAACCUACCUAUUACUCGGGUAUAGCCUUUCGAAAGAAAGAUCAAUCCCCGAUACGAUAUUGAGUUCGCAUGAAUUUGAUAUGAAAGAUUUAUUGGUAUUAGAUGGGGAUGCGUUCCAUUAGAUUGUUGGUGAGGUAACGGCUCACCAAGUCUUCGAUGGAUAGGGGUUCUGGGAGGAAGGUCCCCCACACUGGAACUGAGACACGGUCCAGACUCCUACGGGAGGCAGCAGUGAGGAAUAUUGGUCAAUGGGCGAGAGCCUGAACCAGCCAAGUAGCGUGAGGGAUGACUGCCCUAUGGGUUGUAAACCUCUUUUAUAAGGGAAUAAAACGCUCCACGUGUGGAGCUUUGCAUGUACCUUUUGAAUAAGGAUCGGCUAACUCCGUGCCAGCAGCCGCCGUAACAC
rnacentral:rRNA from 1 species